GGAGGGGGUGGACUGAGGUUCCUGGAUUGGCUGCAGUGACGCAGUCAUGCCAUUAGGUGUCAGCAAAAGCUCAGGGCCUCGGUGGGAUGGGGCGGCUCAGCGCUUAGCCCCCUUCCCCAGCCCUCUUUUCUCCCCGAUUUCCAGUUGCCUCUGGCCCUGCAGGGUCGCCCACCGCCCGCAUUUCUUCAUGUACAUGGUUCCUCCUAGACUACUAGGGCCGCCUUAGCUUGCUACCCUUUUAGGACCCUGGAGCUGUGCCAGGGUCCCCUCUGUCCCCGCGCUCCUGACACCCCCUCCUCUUGCAGGGCCACCUCCUCCCCAGCCCCUCCUGCAGCGUCUCUGCUCCGGACCUCGCCUCCUCCUGCUCUCCCUGGGCCUCAGCCUCCUGCUGCUUGUGGUUGUCUGUGUGAUCGGAUCCCAAAACUCCCAGCUGCAGGAGGAGCUGCGGGGCCUGAGAGAGACGUUCAGCAACUUCACAGCGAGCACGGAGGCCCAGGUCAAGGGCUUGAGCACCCAGGGAGGCAAUGUGGGAAGAAAGAUGAAGUCGCUAGAGUCCCAGCUGGAGAAACAGCAGAAGGACCUGAGUGAAGAUCACUCCAGCCUGCUGCUCCACGUGAAGCAGUUCGU
rnacentral:lncRNA from 1 species